rnacentral:rRNA from 1 species
UACGUAGGGGGCAAGCGUUGUCCGGAUUUAUUGGGCGUAAAGAGCGUGUAGGCGGCCGUACAGGUCAGCUGUGAAAACUCGAGGCUCAACCUCGAGACGUCGGUUGAAACCGUACGGCUAGAGUCCGGAAGAGGGGACUGGAAUUCCCGGUGUAGCGGUGGAAUGCGCAGAUAUCGGGAGGAACACCCGUGGCGAAGGCGGGUCCCUGGGACGGUACUGACGCUGAGACGCGAAAGCGUGGGGAGCGAACAGG